rnacentral:lncRNA from 1 species
CCAAAUAUGCCUCUCUCAAGUAGCAGCUGUGCACGUAGUCCUCUGGGGUGGUAUUUAUUAGUGGAAUACAGCAAACUGCAUGGCAACAGGGCAAUCCCGUGAGCUCCCACUUUCUACACGUGCAUGUGCGUCUUUCGACAUCAACCACAUAGAUUCCACUGUAGAUAUGUUGCACUUCGAAUUUUUUGUCGUCUGAGUGUCUAGCAAUAUUGGAGGCAACCUCAUUUUUUGCCUUUUCAAGCUUUUUUUGAAUCUUUG